rnacentral:lncRNA from 1 species
GGAUUUGAGUUUCAACUUGAACAUGUCUGGCCGAGGAGGACGCUGUCCUCAAGGAGACAGACACAGAAAUGAGCAUGGGCCUGACCAUGGGCAUGGACAAGGACAUGACCGUGACCAUGGGUGUGGGGGUGAGGGCAGAUCCAAGGGCAAGUGCAGGCACAAGAGCGGCCACAAGCACAAGAACUGUCACAAGAAGGGGAAGGACUCACACGGGCACUCCAGCAGCUCCUGCACCAGCAGUGACUCUGAAUGAAUCAAGAUUUUGAAAAAGUUUCCAACUUGGUGUUGUCUGGCAUACUUAAGUACAAUCUUGGAAUUCAUUUGUACUGCAGAAAACAAGUUGUCAAGUAAUAAACGUCAAAGAUAAAACAAAUAUGUUGUCCUCCCUCUCUUGCUCUACACUACUUGACUUAUUCCUUCUUUUUACUUUUUUCCCUUCGCAUCAUUUUAUUCAGUUCUUUAGUUUUUAAACUUUCAUCUUAUGUUUCAAAUAAUCCAGAUUUAUUUUUUUAUUGUGUAAAACUCAAAUAAUUUUGAUCAGAAUCCCAGGUGAACCUGUGGUGUGAGUGGACAGCGAUUUGCACAGUGCCAUUCUUCUUCUUUAGUGGCCUAAAAACGUUCAUAGGGCAUGAUUAUGUUUGUCAUGGUCAGGGUUAGGAGAAGCAGACAGAUUCAUAUUCUUUUUUGCAUUUCAGCAAUAAAAAUCAUGGUGUGCAA